rnacentral:rRNA from 1 species
GACGAACGCUGGCGGCGUGCUUAAUACAUGCAAGUCGAACGGAAAGGCCCUGCGUUUGUUUGUUUCUCGAUUGGCGAACGGGGGAGUAUCACGUGAGUAUCCUCCACUUAUCUGUGUGGUAACUUCAGGAAACUGCGGCUAUUACCGGGGAUGAGCUCCUGCACCAUGGUGUUGGUUGGUGAGUGUCGGCGGUUGUGGCUGGACUCGCGGGUUAUCAGCUUCAUAGGGGGGUAGUGACUUUCCAAGGCUUUGACGGGUAGGCGGCCUGAGAGCGUGACCGGCCACAUUGGUACUGCGAGACGGACCAGUAGGCUACGGGAGGCAGCAGUGGGGAAUAUUGCACAAUGGGCGGACGCGUGAUGCAGAAACGUCGCGUGCGGGAUGACGGCUUUCGGGUUGUGAACAGCUUUCGCCGGUGACGAAGCGUGAGUGACGGUAAUGAGUAAAGAAGCACCGGCUAACUACGUG